rnacentral:rRNA from 1 species
GACGAACGCUGGCGGCGUGCUUAACACAUGCAAGUCGAACAGGAUUUCGUAAACAGAAGCCUCGGUGGAAGAUUACUAAUGAGAGUGGCGAACGGGUGAGUAACGCGUGAGCAACCUGCCUAUGACAGUGGGAUAGCCUCGGGAAACCGGGAUUAAUACCGCAUAAAAUCGUAGAAACACAUGUUUUAACGGUCAAAGAUUUAUCGGUCAUAGAUGGGCUCGCGUCUGAUUAGCUAGUUGGUGAGAUAACAGCCCACCAAGGCGACGAUCAGUAGCCGGUCUGAGAGGAUGAACGGCCACAUUGGAACUGAGACACGGUCCAAACUCCUACGGGAGGCAGCAGUGGGGAAUAUUGCACAAUGGGGGAAACCCUGAUGCAGCGACGCCGCGUGAACGAAGAAGGUAUUCGUAUCGUAAAGUUCUGUCCUAUGGGAAGAUAAUGACAGUACCAUAGAAGAAAGCUCCGGCUAAAUACGUG